CAGCCGCCACGGUAAUACGAAGGGUGCAAGCGUUACUCGGAAUUACUGGGCGUAAAGCGUGUGUAGGUGGUUGUUUAAGUCUGUCGUGAAAGCCCUGGGCUCAACCUGGGAAUUGCGAUGGAUACUGGGCGACUAGAGUGCGGUAGAGGAUAGUGGAAUUUCCGGUGUAGCAGUGAAAUGCGUAGAGAUCGGAAGGAACAUCUGUGGCGAAGGCGACUAUCUGGGCCAACACUGACACUGAGACACGAAAGCGUGGGGAGCAAACAGGAUUAGAGACCCGCGUAGUCCCUGUCUCUUAUAC
rnacentral:rRNA from 1 species